UUUGGACCUGGGCUGCUUCUUGAGGAGUGCUGUAUAGCUAGAGAGCCUCUUCACCAGGUUGGAUUACAGCAGUCAUUUGCUGAAGUUUAAUAAACAAGAAGCCUUUUCUUGUAAGCAGAACUUAAUUUGAAAUGGAAUGAUUUAGAGAGAACAUCACUGUGUCCUUCCGACAUAAGAUGAACCAUCACUUUCGUGCCUAUUGAUCCAGUUUAAUUUCUAUGGCAAGCUCUCAUCAGACCAUUGGAGCAUGGCAUGGAAAGCUUAAGUGCAGGCUCCACUGGGCAGGAGAGACCCAACUGUUACAUGUGUGAACAGCACUCAGCUGAGGAGUAAUGCACUCCCUGCUGGGCUCUUAAAUAUGGCUUUGUCUACAGCAAGAGAAGAUGGUGCUGCUUUGUUCUGUUUUAAUCAUCAGCCCCUCAAUUUUGCGAAUUUUAAAACCGUGCAAGCUGUCUGCAUUUAAGUCUAGCUAAUGGUUUUUUUCAUUGUUAAAGAAAAGUAGGUUGAAAUUAAAUAUCUCUAAGAUCUGUCAGUUUUCUUCCUGUGUUCCAGCUCUGCUUGGCACUGAUGGACAAAGAAUGCGUAUGAAAAUAAAAUCACCAGUGAAUAACACGUCUCUUUAAGAGAGCAUGUAAAGUCAGGAAGAGUCUUUCCAAUUUAUGAGUUUAAAGCAUGAAUAAUUUAACAACAUACUGGCACAAUGGAUAUUUAUUUGUGGUACUGUUCUGAGCAGACAAGAUCUAAAAAGGCUCAGAAAACAACCUUUCUUUUGUCUAUAAAGAUAAGAAUGAGAUUUACAAACAGACUUAAAGAAUUUAAGAGAACUUAUGCUUCUAUUUCCAUGCACUUCUUUUUCUGUAAAUGUUCUCCAGCAUCCUAUGUUGUUCCUAUGUACUUACAUUGGUUUGUCUUGAUGUGCCUUAUUUUCUGCCACUUUUUGAACACAGUAUGUGCUAAUAUUCUGGAUGUAGCACUUGAAAAACACACAGUGGCUGUUUUAAUUAUAAAUAUAACUUUCUGCAAUGAAGAAUUAAAUCCCACAUCCUUAGCCAAAAGGCUAGCUUUUCUGUAAUCGGGCCUACAGCUUGAGCUCUUUUUUUGGUCUGCACAAAGCAAAUGAUGAUUGUCUCCCCCUGGAAUCAGCCUCUGGAGGAAAGAUGGGGGUGGAUGCAGAGGAUAGUGGAGUUAAUUUCCUGUAAAUAGGAUUAGGGAACGUGAUGACUUCUGUCAUCGUGCAAUGCUCAAACUCCCCCACGCAACUCAGGAUCUCUAUUUUCUCUCUGUUCUCAGAUGUAACGGUAUGAAGUGGUACUCAGGCUCCUAAAUCUCGGAGUUGCUUUUCUGAGUUUGAAAGCAGCUUAUGGAGGGACAGGACAGAAUGGAGACAUGUUCAUAUACAGCCCCAUGCCUGAGUACUAUACUUUGUAGUUAGUGUACCACAAGUUUAAGGCAAACCUGAGUGCAUGCAAAUUUAG